GGGAAGAUGGCUCAGUGGUAGAGCGCUUGCCUUGCAUGCAUGAG
rnacentral:tRNA from 1 species